UUUGAGUGUGAGCUUUGAAUCCCGGGCGGAAGAGAAUAGUUGAGCUUGAAAUCACUUGGGAAGCUUGAAAUCACUUGAUUUCUUCACUUGAAUGCACUAACUCCCUUGAACCUCUUUUUCUUUCUUCUCUCUUGAAUGAUUUUGCUUUGGGUUGGUAAAAAGUUAUUGAGAAGCACUUAAGAGCUCCCUUUUAUAGCUCAAAAAGCGAAUAUAGCCGUUAGAGAUAAAGUAAAAGAGAUUUGAAAUUCAAACC
rnacentral:lncRNA from 1 species